CAACUAAACCAUUUUCCUUCCGAAAACAACGUGCCUUUUGUCCACAUGUCAGUUGAACACAGUCCCUGGCCUGUUCUCUCCCAUACCAGGAGUGGUGCCAGCAAAUGCUUGGUGCAUAUAAUCAGGAGACAGUGCACAAGGCCCACUCAGUGUGCCCGUGGGGACGUAAGUACUUAAACAGCCUGGAGAUGUUAACAGUGAGUCUCACAUACCACCUAAGGCCGUGUCUGAAGACUGUGUGUGCAAGCCAUUUUAUGAUUCUACGAUUCUGAUUCUGUGAUGAUUGCAUGAAGAGUUCAGCAGGACCUCAGAGAAGUCUCUCAUGAAAGCCUUGAUGCUUUCUACCAGAAGUCAGAAUUUCCUCAAAAUGGAGGGAGAGUCAAUGGAUUGGUCAAGGCAACAGAAGGAAAAUAAGAAUGGAGAUGAGGGUGGCAGCGCUAAAUGAAAUAAGAAGCUAACAACUCAGUGUGUUUUGGAAGUGUGGAAGUAAGGACUAUAUCCUCCACUGAAGCAAAAAGCUAGAGUUGUAAUCAGCACUCCCUCCUUGCACCCAGAAAAUGUUACCCUCUAACUUAAGUUACUGAAUAUAUGUGUAGGGAAACAAGACAAGCCCUCUGCCUUCCCACAGGAAGUCCCCUGAAACCGUCAUGUAAUAUUUUUACCUGCUUCAGAUGCCUUUCGUUUUUCUUAUUUCCUCUGUGACAAGGGCCAGAGCCACUUCCCUACCAUCAGCACCACGAAUCUAACAGCCAGUUCUUAGGAGCGUCUCUGAACUUAAGAGCUCCAGUUAUGGAAGUGGGUUCAGUAUUUCUAGAGAACAGAUAAACAGAUAAGUACAAAGAGAGAAACAUCAGCAUUUUCCUGUCAGAGAAAACACGGCAGCAUGAAUACAACUCCUCUACAGCACACCAGGGAAACCUCACCUGAGAAAAUGUAAGAGCAAGGGUUGGGUUUACUUCAGACUCCAGAGGGACAUAGGUCAGAGAUCACAUUUUCUUAGAUACACAGGUCAGCUGUAGAAAAGACCAGGGAAUCAUGUUCUACUGCUCAUUAACCUACACUGAUAGUUUAAGAAAGCAAGAAAACUUUAGACUUAGUACAUUUAUGUAGAGUGUUGGGAAUAAGGGAAUUUGACUUUUUUUUUUUUCAUGAAAUCUAAGGAUAAGAAUUAGAGCACUACCACUGUAAGGAUAUUUCACCAUGGGUUGAGAAAGAAUUGAAAACCAUGGAGUGUGUCCUGUGAAAUCUGUUCAUAAUGAUAGGUUACAAGUUAUUACCGUAAUGGCUGUGAAUAGCCUGAACCCAAGUUUGAAUCAUAAUAAGAAUAAUAAUAGGUAGCUGUACGUUCUCAUUUUAGCUAGAGAUAGUCUUACAGAGGAUGCAUGGUUGAGGUCACAAUUUGCUGAACGGUUUGGCUUCUUGAACACUGAGUUUAUCUGGCAAUUAUGUGAGCAAAGUAAAACCACAGCUUCUUUUUAUAGCAGCCACAAACUUGACCCACAUAUUGGCCUAGGUGGCAUAAGUGGUAAAACCCAGCACUUUCUUCUACAAAGAGGGCACGAAGAUGGAUUCAGUUGUUUCCACCAGUAGCUUUUUAAGUCUGGUAUAUCAUAAGCAUCCUCCCAUCAUAUGCAAUGCAAAUUAGGCAUCUAACAUGUCUUUGAGAAUCCGAGUCUUAGCCUUGAGACUUUUACUUUGUGCAAGAAUUUCCAGUAGUUUUUGAGAACAAAGGGUGAUAAGAAAGUAAAUCGAAAUAGUGGCUGCAAAUACAAGGUAAGGUACUUGGAGUUUUAGUAUGGUUGCGCAGCUCACAUCUAACAUCAGACUCCCACUUAAAUGUGGAUUGCCAAAUGUCUUGUCUUUGCUGUUCCUCUAACCUUAGUAUAAUGUGACUUAAGAGUGCAUCUUUCCUGUGCAGAUAUAGACUAAUUUGAUAAGGAAGAAGGGAAAUAGAAGAAAAUGACAAGUGAUUUCUGAUCUAUAUUUGAAGGAAGGGAAUGUCUAAGGGAACGUCUGUGGCAUUGAUGGCUUCAGGGGCAUGAGGGUCACCCAACAAAGAAAAUGUGUAUUGUUUUACAUUGCUCAUUCCUUUUCUUUCCAUUUUAAAUGUUCUCUGAAUUUCCUGAAGCCUGAGUGUACUUAUCUGUUUUUCUUCCCUAUUUUUUCCUAUGCAGCUGCAUCUAGAUCCUGCCAGAAGGUGAAUGUACUUUUGGUCUGGGAUUGCACGUCACUUCCUUCAUGCAGAAGGCAUCUGAAAUGAGCAUGUGAACCCAGGACUGAAUUUUUAAGGCACAUUUACAUACAUUACAACUUAGGCCACCCAUUCUAUAAUUAUCCCCUCCUCAGUAAUUUGGCAUUUCCCACCUCUGUACAUUGGUGGUAGGAAAUUUCCUUCUUCAUCAAAUCUACCGUUCAGGUGACUUUCUGAUGCUGUAGAUGUUCCUCCCUAAGGUCAGUAUCAUUCAGAUCUGACCUGGAAAUCAGACCAAGAACAAAAUCAUAUCUGCAUCUCCAUCCCAAUCUGGAACUAAGAUCUGGACCCAAGAUAAUGGCUAUGGCUGGUCUUUGUCAUGAGUUUAAAGCUUCAGAACAUCUAUGUUUCUGCCUUCCUUCAAGAGUUAGGAUGUGAUGCUGAAGCUUUCAGCUCAGUUAGUUUUUAACUAAGUUACAAAAAUGGCCAAUGAGUGUAAACUGAAACCUUCUUGACUUUCCUUUUGCUCAUUUCCUGGUAUUAUGGCUUUAGGCCUUUCUCCACUGAAGUGUGUGCCCAGCCAGCAAGUAUAUGAAGAGACAUGUUCGAGAGCAGAUGGGCCAAGGUGAGCCUGAAUCUCACUAUUCCAUGGUCACCUCAAAGACUGGGUAUGGGAAAUAUUCUCUAUUACAAUUAAAUCUGUUUUUUUCCUUAUUUCCCAUUCCCUUGGUUGAGAAAUCUAACUCUCUGGAGGAUAAAAACACAUGUUAUGGAGGUCUUUGGUUGAUGAUAACUCUGGUCACACAAGAGCUUUCUUCCACAGUAGUUUCUCUGUGCUUUGUUUGUUGUUGUUUUGUUUGUUUUAACAACCACAUUGGCUGUAACAGCAGAAAAUACAACCUUAUGUAAAAAAAAAAUACCAAACAAAACAACAACCAAAAACCCAGCACAUACACUGGAUUAACCUCGUGAGAAACUGGCAGGAGAAUGCCCUCCCUUAAAUUAUAUACUUGUACUCCCCCACAGCUGUGAUAAAAUAAAAUGAAAAAGAGUGUCCUCAAUUUUUCUUUCACCAAUGUGUUACGAAGUUGUCAGGCCAGGCCUGGUGGUAGGGCAGCAGAUGACUAAUAGCUGUGUUUUUUAAUUAAACACUAUCAGAAGAAAUGAUAGAUUAGUGUUCCCACCCCCUGCAUUUCCCAGAACAUUUCAAAAUUACUUUUUGAAAAAUGGACUUCAAAAGAAAAAAGAAAAAAAAAAAAAGCAUGAAACAAUGAUGGGAAUUUCUUGUCUUUCUGGACCAGAAUAAAAGCUUUCUGGCUGUCAGAAGGAAAAUUUAUAUUUAUUUAUGUAUUUAUCACAUUUCAACCGAUACAGGUCUGAUUUGUACCUGGUUGGGAUUUCUACAGCAGAGCUGGAUCUCACCUUCGUAGGUCUCUGUCUUACUGCAAGCAUUUCUACUGCCACAGGAGAUGUUUUUCUUCUGUAAAUUAGCUCCCUGCAGGAAACUCUUCAGUUGUUUUGUAGGUGGAUGGACACUCAAGAUGCCCUAUAGGAGGAAGUCAAGUUGCACUUCGCUUUCUCCUGCAGAUGAACAGUGAACACUUCUUAGAAGAGAAGGCAUAACAUGAUUCAUCUCAAUAACCCUCACAUAUGCACUGCUGAAUCUAGACUACGUGCCUCAACUCUCCCUAUGGGCAAUGGGGAGAAGAAGGUCAUUCUGGACAGUCCUGGAGUCCACCCAUUAGCCUGAGGAUGUUUCUUGUGCCCCAGCUGUAAAAUGGGAAGAUUUCACCAAACAUAACCUGGACACUGUGAUGAACAUAGUACUGCAGUCAUUCAGCUGUACAAGCAACUGCUUACAGAACAGCCUUCUGUAUGUACGCAGGUUGUGAUCAUUUAUUAGAGGCAAACUGCUGCCUGCUUUUCUUUGUCCCCCUUUUGUGGCAGGAGGCAUAAAAGCCCAGCUCCUCUUCCUCUUUCCUCGUGACAUUAUUAUGUAAAUCAUCGUAUCACCAAGAAUAAGCACUUUGCCUAUGCCUGAGAAGAGAUGUUAUCUGGGAUUCUCAACUUACAAUUAAAAAGAAAAAAAGAAAAAGAAAAAAAGGAAAGAAAGUAGCAUUGUAGCCAUUGUUUCCAAAGAAGAAAUGUUGGCAUUCGUGAUAUUUAGAGCUAUAAAAUCUGAAAAUGAUAAGAUGUGGAAGGUUGAGUGAGACCCACAUUUCUACUACUGAGACAUAUACUGGGAGUGAGAGGGGGAAUGCUUGAGCCCACCAGAAGGAAUAGCUUUCUUAUCCAGAAGUAGCUGAUAAUUAAGAGCUACAGUUCUGCACCUACAAGAAAUAAGGGUUCAGAACCUGAAACUGUGCUUUAAGCAGAAACUGAAACCAAAUAUCUCAGUGCAGAUGACUGGAUCACCAUUUUCUCUUGAAGAACCUCUGGCCCUUUUUGUUAUGUUAGAGCACUCAAGCCAUGAGGACUGACAAAAGGUUUCCAACUUCUAUCAUCUCCAACAAACAGCUUAAGUUUUUUAAGGUUUUCAUCCAAAAAUAAAGGCCACUAAAGUGACUUAAGCCUUUCAGAGUGCUCGUUUGGAGUUCCUCUUCUCAGUAGAGGAGCUUAGACUCUUCCUGAGAUACACAUCAGGUUCUGAGUGUUAUUCUGGAUUUUGUCCAGAAUGAACAAGUGGUGGGGGACAGGAAUGCAAUCCGCAGAUAAAAUGGGGACAUCAUUAACUUUCUGUCCUCAUUGUUAUUUUGAUUAGUGAGAUAUUUGGCCCCCAGAAGAUGGUGCAUUUGUAACGAAGAAGAUGCAAACAGCCUGUAAGGCAUGCUAUAAAUUUGAGAGACUGGAAAAUUGGGCUAGUGCCCAGAUGAAUGAUUAUUUUUUAAAAGAAAUGCAUUUAUAUCUCUCCUUUCUAACUGAAAAUACGUGUCAGUACUUAGAGACAGGAAAACCUUCUUUAUCCUUAUCUCUGCUGCGUGUCCUUUUUUUUCUGAGACUUCUCCAUCUUCAGACAUGGCACACACAUCCCUUCUAACACACCAUAUUUCAAAGUAGCAGAGUCCUGGCCUAGCAUCCUGGUGCUAACAUUCUGGAUGCCUUGCUGCAACAAGUCCUGAGCAGCAGCGUACAUGCCAAUAAAAUCCUGCUUACAUGCAAUGGUGAGUGAAAAUAGGAUUGAGGCUCUUCCCUCUGCCAGCCAUUUAACUUCUGUCCAAGGAAAUUCAAGUGAUAUGCAGCACUCCUGCUGAUGCUGAUUAAUUUCUAGAUCCACCUAGGGUAGCAAGAGAAAACUGAAGAUAUGGUGGGAGUAGAUAAUUUCUCAGAAUCUUUUCUCUGGACGUGCUCUGAAUGCAUUUAGAGAAAAAUGCCACUUCAUGAGUGAAAUAAAAGUGAAAGGCAGUUACGUUCCUGGAAAUGCAUCUGUGUAAGAGUUCAGAAGCCUUGUACGUAACGUGGUGACA
rnacentral:lncRNA from 1 species